ACCACUUCUCUAUCCAUCCCUUCUGCAGACUCCCUGCUUUCUCUACACUACCAGCCCCUCCACCUAUUUUCAUAUCAUCCGCACUUUGCCAAAAAGCCUUUAAUCCCCUCGUGCAAAUCAUUAAUAUACAACUGUUUAUACCAUU